GGCGAACGGGUGAGUAACACGUGGGUGAUCUGCCCUGCACUUCGGGAUAAGCUUGGGAAGCUGGGUCUAAUACCGGAUAGGAGCCAUCUUUAGUGUGGUGGUUGGAAAGUUUUUCGGUGUAGGAUGAGCUCGCGGCCUAUCAGCUUGUUGGUGGGGUAAUGGCCUACCAAGGCGGCGACGGGUAGCCGGCCUGAGAGGGUGUACGGCCACAUUGGGACUGAGAUACGGCCCAG
rnacentral:rRNA from 1 species